UCAUCAAUCUUGUGAACUUCUUCGACAACAUGACUUUCUUCACCUCCAACUACAGCAGCUUCCGUAUCUCCAAAUUCUUUAACAUGAUGACCUUUCCCAUCGUUGAAAAGCCUUAAAAUCUCAUCCAUAGUACUUGAUAUCAUUGCAGUCACAGACUCGGACAAGAAUUGCAUAUUCGUCCGAAUUUCUGUCAUGUCACAUUUUAUCUGUUCUUGCAUCUUCAUGAUUUCAUUAAUCUUUUUUGUCUGAUCACUCCGUUCCGUCCCAUGAUAUUGUGGUUCAUUUGGUGAAUGUUGGGGGGCCGAAGGGCCUUCAGCAGCAUUGGAUGUUUCCUGAUGUGAUGUCACCUCACAUCAUCGUGGAGGAUCCACGAAAUCAUCGUCGUCAUCUGCAACAUGAGCAGGUCCAACGCCAAUGUCCGUUACCAAAGGCACAGAUUCUCCACUCAUGCUAGCAGGGUUAGCAGACUUUCGCUUCCUGUUUUUCCUUCGAUAGCUGCCACAGGAAAACUCCGGUUGAUUUGUUUUGUUAUACUGCACCCCAUCCAUAUAUGGCAUCGCCAUUUUCGCUUCACU
rnacentral:lncRNA from 1 species